UCUUUUUUAGGUCACAAGAUUGCGCCAACCCUCACAUGGUCCUUAAAAAAAAAACCUUCUGACACUGCAGUAGUGAAAAUGAAGCGCACGAUGGGCGGAAGCUAGGAAGACACUUAAACAUAAAGAUGAAGUGCUUAAUUCAAGGUCACACAAUGUCGGGAAUGGACUCCAGAUUUCCUUACUGGUACUUAUCCUAUAUUACAUGAGGGAAAUGAAAUAAAAAGACUACAGCCCCACUCCCAGCUACUCAGUGAGGUAGUAGCUAGGUAAGAAAACAACCCUUUCCUUUUAGAUGAAAUUGGAACUUAGGAGGUAGUAAUCUUUGGGAGAGGCUUAAAGGGAUUGAUAAUAGUAACAAAAAUAAUAGUAAUGGCCAGCUUUGAUGAGCCAGGCACUGUGCUAAGCACUUUAUGUUGGCUGCUAUCUUCUAACAACCAUAUGAUUCUGGUACUAUGAGAAGUAGAGCCAGUGUAGUAGGAGUGAGGAGCAUAGACUCUGGGUUCGGACCUCCUGCUUUGACACCUAAGUUUUGCUGGUAACUGACUCUGUGGCCUUGAACAAGAAAACUGUGCCUAAUUUGUACAGAUAUUCCCUGACUUACAGUGGUUCGACUUAAAAUUUUCAACUUUACGAUGAUGCAAAAGCCAUAUACGUUAAUUAGAAACUG